rnacentral:rRNA from 1 species
AACUUAAAUGAAUUGACGGGGCCCGCACAAGCGGUGGAGUAUGUGGUUUAAUUCGAUGCAACGCGAAGAACCUUACCUAGGUUUGACAUCCGGAAACUCCCGAAAGGAAGGGUGCCCUUCGGGGAAUUCCGAGACAGGUGCUGCAUGGCUGUCGUCAGCUCGUGCCGUGAGGUGUUGGGUUAAGUCCCGCAACGAGCGCAACCCUAUUGCCAGUUGCUACCAGGUAAUGCUGGGCACUCUGGUGAGACUGCCCCGGUUAACGGGGAGGAAGGUGGGGACGACGUCAAGUCAUCAUGGCCCUUACGCCUAGGGCUACACACGUACUACAAUGGCGCAUACAAAGGGCAGCGAUACCGCGAGGUGGAGCCAAUCCCAAAAAGUGCGUCCCAGUCCGGAUUGCAGUCUGCAACUCGACUGCAUGAAGUUGGAAUCGCUAGUAAUUCGAGAUCAGCAUGCUCGGGUGAAUGCGUUCCCGGGCCUU